GAGGUUGGUCUCUCUUUCCCUCUCCCCACCCCUUUAGAGGGAGAAGGGCCUGCUGCUGGGGAGUAUACCAAAGGUGAAGCAGGGCUGGGGAAGGCCAGAGGAGCUGGGAGGCUCCAGACUGGAAAAGCCCCAGGCUGCAGGCCUGGCAGAUGGCCUAAGAUAGGUCCUGAGGUUGCAGGGGCCAGCCCACAGGUAGGCAGAGGCAACAGGUCCAAACCCCCCUUGCCUGUGAUGAUUGGCUUAUAUACUGCAGUCUGCCCCAUUGAACGGCUAGAUGGUGACUGGGUAGUAGCCAUAUAAUGAGGUUGGGUGGGGGUUCCUGGGCAGGGGAGACCCAGAGACUGGGGGGUAGUGCCAGGGGGCACACCCUGGGUAAAAGAGGCACCGGGGUCUGGGAGGGACCUGGGGGGCCAGCGGCAAACAGGAUACCAGCCUGCGGAGGGUGUUCUGGAGGCUGGAAGAGCUAAUUCCCUGAGAGAUCAGCAGGACGUGCUGCAGGGGUGAGUCCCACACUGGGACAGUUGAAUUCACUGCUUAUGAAUGAUGCCAGAUUGCUGGCAAUGCUGAAGACUAAAGUGUAUCCAGUGGUAUAACACAAGCAGAGCUCUCCACUCUCCACUGAAUCCUGUGAGGAACCAUUGGAAAGAUCUGACAGGACACCUUCUAAAGAUGAGAGAGUAGUAGAAUCCCCAUGCCAAAUCAGACCUUGGGCUCUCUAUUUAUAUUCCAGCGGGAUGUCAAUUAAUGCCAAAUGUGAUAGUUUUCUCUGUUACGUGAACUAGAAACUGGACUUAGACAACCAAUUCAUCUCACAUAGGCCCCUGUCAGCUAUCAGGCUGUAAUUGCUUUUAGUCUCUACUGACUUGGGCCAGAUUUGAACCAGCCACCUAGCUUGAAAGGCUCUGUAUCCACCAUCAAUCACAUAAACCAUCCGAUCCCCCCCGCAAUUUUGUUUCUCUAUCUAAUUUUUUUUUAAGACAGAACAUUCUACCUAAAGUGGAAUGCUCCACCAGGACCAAAAAAGCUAAUUUCCUUGUUAAUCCCCCACAUUUCUGAGUGGCACAAAAACCUUAACAAACAAGUGACUUAUUUUCCUCCUCCCACUCAUGUUCUCACCUCAUUCAGUGCGCCACUGACUAAGACUGUCUUCAUUGACAAAAAGGUGCAUUUUUGAAGUGAAAUAGCUAACUCGAGUUACCAAUCUCACUGUAAAAUCCUAGUGGAGACAAGGUCCAGGUAGUUUUUACCUCACUAUAGCUAGUCAAGGAGAACUCCCAGGUGAGGUUAUAGUGUUGACCUCAACGAGCUUUGGCAGUAAAGACCUAGCCUAACAGAGCUUCAAGACUGCUGGGAAAGUAAUGAUAUAUAAUCUCAGUCAACAGAGCUCCUCCCUCUGCCAGUGGAAUGAGGUUGUGGUAUUUAAACACUGCCCUGUAGAAAGGUCAGUUUAGUCAGAUUAGUAUACUGACCAUGUAAUUAUAUGAGAAAUUAUGGAUAGAGUAUAAGGCUUUGGACAACUUCUUAAGAGACUGUCUGCCACAUACCACUAAAGAAUCCCUUCCCCAGUUUUAUAAUGAGCCCAGUGCAAGUUUUAAUCAGUCCUGGGUAUAUGUACAUACAGGUUCCAGUUCAGGAAAGUAGCCUUAUUCAGGAAAGCACUUAAGAAUGUGCUUAAAGUGAGGCAUGUACUUAAAUGUUUUUCAGAAUAGAGACUUAAGCACAGUCAUGUUUCCCUGAAAUUGCAGACGCAAUCACUAAAACUUAUAUUAUGUACUUGAGCGUAUGAGCUCCCAGUCAUCUGGUACACAACAUGUAAAGGAGCAAUGGUUAGAGGGUUUUAGUUAUAGCAUGGCUCUGUACAAAAGGACUUGCUUAACCUACCUUGCCUUUUGACUGUAAUUUCCCCAAGCUUAGCUGAUUCCUUUAACAGUUCUGAAUUCUGCCCCUAAAACUAUGACAACUUUUAGAUGCAAUAAAUUGUUUUUCAAAACCUAUUGGUUUUCUAAAAGCUUUAUUCACUUAAAACACUUUAUUUGCUCCAUCUUGAUUGCAGAUCAGUGUAAUCUCACAUGAGUGACUAAUUUUUGUCUGACUUGCUCUAAAGGCUAGUGGGAGGGAAAUCUGUGGUUGACUUUUGUGCAAUUCACUGCUUUUAAGUUCAGAACUAGUCCUUCUGGUGCACCCACAGCUCCCCUAGACUUCAAUUCGAGCUCUGGAGACACAGAAAUACAAGACUGAGUACUUGAUGAUAUCAUGAUUCUUUGUAAUAUGUUAUCAAUAUAUUUUUGCUCUGUAUAUAUUCAGUUAUAGAAACAAUACUUUGCUACUUAAAUAUGUAUUUAUAAUGUUCAGCACCUUUUCCUGAAGGAUCUCAAAGCACUUGACAAACAUUAAUUAACUAAGCCUUAUAAUACCCCUGUAAAAUGCUGUAGAGUAUUAUUAUCCCUUUUAAACAUGAGUAAACUGAGCACAGAGCUGCUAAAUGAUUCA